UGUGGAAACUGCACACCUCCACAAGUGU
rnacentral:piRNA from 1 species